rnacentral:rRNA from 1 species
AUUGAACGCUGGCGGCAGGCCUAAAACAUGCAAGUCGAACGAGUGGCGGACGGUUGAGUAAUGUCUGGGAAACUGCCUGCAGGAGGGGGCUAACUACUGGAAACGGUAGCUAAUACCGCAUACCAGCGGAUGUGCCCAGAUGGGAUUAGCUAGUAGGUGGGGGUACGGCUCACCUAGGCGACGAGCCCUAGCUGGUCUGAGAGGAUGACCCGCCACACUGGAACUGAGACAGGUGCCAACCUCCUACGGUAGGCAGCAGUGGGGAAUAUUGUACAAUGGGCGCAAACCGGAAUCAGCCAUGCCCCGUGUGUGAAGAAGGCCUUCGGUUUGUAAAGGACUUUCAGCGGGGAGGCGUUACCCGCAGAUGAAGCAUCGGCUAAUCCCGUGCCAGCAGCCGCGGUAAUUC